rnacentral:lncRNA from 1 species
CUCAAAUCUCUCUACCUCAUAUCUGGAAAACAAAAGUGCCCUGCUUUGGACUGAAUUCUUGGACUAUCAGGUGGAGGACAUAAAGAGACCUUGAAAAGGAAAUACUCUAGUUCUUGUAAAUAAAGGGAACAUCAGAGACCUGGGUGGGAGAGAGUAAGAGAAAGAACACAGAGUAAAAAAUAAAGUAUAACCACAACUUUUGGAAAUAAGGAGAAGAAUUUGGGAGCUUGAUCAUGUUUUUGCUUUUGUUGUUUUCCCAUUCUGCUUCACCUUCCACCAAGCCUACUUCCCCAAUGCCAUGGCAGAAGAUCAAUGACAACAACUCUUAAUCUUUUCUGACUGGCUUCACUAUCCUGAAUGGUGUCAAAGAACUGGUUCUUCCCUGCACUGAAAUUGGAAUCUAUUACGAUGGUCUGCUGUAUACUGAAUCAUUGGCCCCAAUUUUUUGUCCUUCCCUGUAUGCACACCCUUUGCCAAGUGACUUUGCAGUUCCUCCCACAAAAACAGAGUGUAUUUCUUCUCGCCUUGACUUUGGACUUGACCACAUGACUAACUUUGGCAUGUUAGCAGAUGUGAUGCAAAGGAGGGCUUGGAGAGUAUUUGUGCAGUGGUGCUUGCCCUCUUGCACUCUGCCACUGCCAUAAGAAUCCUCCACUCUGGGUAGCAACUCCUUCCAUUCUGGGUCCUAGAAUGAAAACACCCCAGCACAGAUCUAAACUGGCCAGACCCAUAUUUUGAACAGAGCCAUUCAGUUGAACCCACUCUGGAUCAGCUGACCCCUAGCUAACCUGCAGAGGUGAGCAAAUAAAUGUUGCUGUUUUAAAUCAUUGAGCUUUGGGGUGGUUUGUUUUACAGUAGUAGCUGACUAAUGCCAUAUUUCUAUAGAAGGGAGGUAGAGAGAAAUGUAUGCUUUUUUCAUAGGAAUUCAUCUGUCACAGGGGAAAUCCUGCUACAUCAGGGAAUGGAAGAGAGGAGGAGAGGUGAUAGGCCAGAGUGACAAUGAGGUUGUGAGAAAAACAAGAUAAAUC